rnacentral:rRNA from 1 species
GGUGAAAAGAACCCCGGAAGGGGAGUGAAAUAGAAUUUGAAACCGUAUGUUUACAAGCAGACAGAGCACGUUAAGGUGCGAUGUCGUACUUUUUGUAGAACGGUCCAGCGAGUUAUUGUAUAUGGCAAGGUUAAAUACUAUGUAAGGUAUGGAGCCGAAGCGAAAGCGAGUCUGAAUAGGGCGUUUAAGUCAUAUGUAAUAGACCCGAAACCGAGUGACCUAUCCAUGGUCAGGAUGAAGCUAGAGUAAAAUUUAGUGGAGGUCCGAACUGAUUGUCGUUAAAAAGGCACCGGAUGAACUGUGGAUAGCGGAGAAAUUCCAAUCGAACUCGGAGAUAGCUGGUUCUCCUCGAAAUAGCUUUAGGGCUAGCCUUGAGGUUAAGAUACAUGGGGGUAGAGCACUGAAUGAGGUAGGGGCCUAACCAGGUUACUGAACUCUAUCAAACUACGAAUACCAUGAUAUCAUACUCAGGAGUCAGACUGCGGGAGCUAAGUUCCGUGGUCAAAAGGGAAACAGCCCAGAUCGUCAAUUAAGGUCCCAAAGAUAUAGCUAAGUGGAAAACGAUGUGAUUUUGCGUAAACAACCAGGAUGUUGGCUCAGAAGCAGCCACUCAUUCAAAGAGUGCGUAACAGCUCACUGGUCGAGUGAAAUUGCGCGGAAAAUUACCGGGGCUAAGCUAUACACCGAAAUUGCGGAUUCAUAGAUUUAUCUAUGAGUGGUAGAGGAGCAUUCUGUUGUAGGUUGAAGCAUGACCGAAAGGACGUGUGGACGAAGCAGAAGAGAGAAUGCUGGAAUAAGUAGCGAGAGCAAGGUGAGAAUCCUUGCCGUCGAAAGUCUAAGGUUUCCUGGGGAAGGUUCGUCCGCCCAGGGUUAGUCGGGACCUAAGGAGAGGCCGAAAGGCGUAUCUGAUGGAUAGCAGGUUGAUAUUCCUGCACUAUGUAUAUUCUUAAAAGAUGUAAGGGACGCAGAAGUGGAAGGUAAGCAAGGAAGAGGAAAAACUUGCCGUGCAAACGAUAGUGAAAUUAAAGUAACGAAGUACCAAGCAGCACACUGACGAGAAAAGCUUAUAGAUAUUGUAUUAUAUACUUGUACCGCAAACCGACACAGGUAGAUGAGGAGAAGAUCCUAAGACGAACGGGAGAAGCAUUGUUAAGGAACUCGGCAAAUUAACCCCGUAACUUCGGAAUAAGGGGUGCCUAUGUAACAGUAGGUCGCAGAGAAUAGGCCCAAGCAACUGUUUAACAAAAACACAGGUUUCUGCUAAAUCGAAAGAUGAAGUAUAGGAGCUGACGCCUGCCCAGUGCUGGAAGGUUAAGGGAAAGAGUUAGGACUUGAUCCGAAGCUUAGAACCAAAGCCCCAGUGAACGGCGGCCGUAACUAUAACGGUCCUAAGGUAGCGAAAUUCCUUGUCAGGUAAGUUCUGACCCGCACGAAAGGCGUAAUGAUUUGGGCACUGUCUCGACAAUGUACCCGGCGAAAUUGUAGUACUAGUGAAGAUGCUAGUUACCUGUGACAAGACAGAAAGACCCCAUGGAGCUUUACUGCAGCUUGAUACUGGGUUUUGAUAAUUUAUGUACAGAAUAGGUGGGAGACUAUGAAGUCAGGGCGUUAGCCUUGAUGGAGUCACCGUUGGGAUACCACCCUUAAGUUGUUGAAAUUCUAACUUGUGAUCAUGAACUGGUCAGAGGACAAUGUCAGGCGGGCAGUUUGACUGGGGCGGUCGCCUCCUAAAAAGUAACGGAGGCGCCCAAAGGUUUCCUCAGCGCGGACAGAAAUCGCGCAAAAGAGUGCAAAGGCAGAAGGGAGCUUAACUGAGAGACAGACAUGUCGAUCAGAUACGAAAGUAGGGCUUAGUGAUCCGGCGGUAGUGUAUGGAAAUGCCGUCGCUCAACGGACAAAAGUUACCCUGGGGAUAACAGGCUUAUCUCCCCCAAGAGUUCACAUCGACGGGGAGGUUUGGCACCUCGAUGUCGGCUCAUCGCAUCCUGGAGCGGAAGUACGUUCCAAGGGUUGGGCUGUUCGCCCAUUAAAGCGGUACGCGAGCUGGGUUCAGAACGUCGUGAGACAGUUCGGUCCUUAUCUGUCACAGGCGCAGGAUAUUUGAAGGGAGUUGUCCCUAGUACGAGAGGACCAGGAUGAAGAUACCUAUGGUGUAUCAGUUGUCAUACCAAUGGCAUGGCUGAGUAGCUAAGUAUCGACGGGAUAAACGCUGAAAGCAUCUAAGUGUGAAGCCCACCCUAAGAUAAGAUAUCCCAUAUCGU